rnacentral:rRNA from 1 species
CUACGGGGGGCACCAGUGAGGAAUCUUCCACAAUGGGCGAAAGCCUGAUGGAGCGACACCGCGUGAGGGAUGAAGGCCUAACGGUUGUAAACUUCUUUUCUGAAGGAGCAUAAUGAGAGUACUUCAGGAAUAAGGGACGGCUAAAUACGUGCCAGCAGCCGCGGUAAUACGUAUGUCCCAAGCAUUGCCCGGAAUUACUGGGUGUAAAGGGUUUGUAGGCGGCUUUAUAAGUCAGAUAUGAAAGACCGAAGCUCAACUUCGUGUUUGUGUUUGAAACUGUAGAGCUAGAAUCAGGGAGAGGUAAGCGGAAUUCUGAGUGUAGGGGUGCAAUCCGUAGAUACUCAGAGGAACACCAAAAGCGAAGGCAGCUUACUGGAACUGUAUUGACGCUCAUGAACGAAAGCGUGGGGAGCGAAAAGGAUUAGAUACCCUAGUAGUC